rnacentral:rRNA from 2 species
GUAAACGAUGUCGACUUGGAGGUUGUGCCCUUGAGGCGUGGCUUCCGGAGCUAACGCGUUAAGUCGACCGCCUGGGGAGUACGGCCGCAAGGUUAAAACUCAAAUGAAUUGACGGGGGCCCGCACAAGCGGUGGAGCAUGUGGUUUAAUUCGAUGCAACGCGAAGAACCUUACCUGGUCUUGACAUCCACGGAAGUUUUCAGAGAUGAGAAUGUGCCUUCGGGAACCGUGAGACAGGUGCUGCAUGGCUGUCGUCAGCUCGUGUUGUGAAAUGUUGGGUUAAGUCCCGCAACGAGCGCAACCCUUAUCCUUUGUUGCCAGCGGUCCGGCCGGGAACUCAAAGGAGACUGCCAGUGAUAAACUGGAGGAAGGUGGGGAUGACGUCAAGUCAUCAUGGCCCUUACGACCAGGGCUACACACGUGCUACAAUGGCGCAUACAAAGAGAAGCGACCUCGCGAGAGCAAGCGGACCUCAUAAAGUGCGUCGUAGUCCGGAUUGGAGUCUGCAACUCGACUCCAUGAAGUCGGAAUCGCUAGUAAUCGUGGAUCAGAAUGCCACGGUGAAUACGUUCCCGGGCCUUGUACACACCGCCCGUCACACCAUGGGAGUGGGUUGCAAAAGAAGUAGGUAGCUUAACCUUCGGGAGGGCGCUUACCACUUUGUGAUUCAUGACUGGGGUGAAGUCGUAACAAGGUAACCGUAGGGGAACCUGCGGUUGGAUCACCUCCUUA